rfam:Hanseniaspora osmophila strain AWRI3579 Hanseniaspora_osmophila_AWRI3579_scaffold11, whole genome shotgun sequence.
GGAGGGUUGGCCGAGUGGUCUAAGGCGGCAGACUUAAGAUCUGUUGGACAGCGUCCGCGCGGGUUCGAACCCCGCAUCCUUCA